GGCGCAGGCGCGCGCCUAAGGGCUUUGCAGGGCUCUCUGAGUCUGAGAGGUCGGAGGCUGCGAGUGUUGCUGCUGAAGGCUGUAGUGGACCCGGCCGGAUCGCGGAUUCUGGGCUAGAAAGCGGAUUUGGAAUCGCACAUUGAGGGUUGGCGCCAGGUGGGGGUGGGAGGAGCCAUGGCUCAGCAGCUGGUUGUUGGGGAUCUGAGAAGUCACCACCUUGAAGAAGUUCGUCGGCUGCGGGAGCCAGGGACCAAGGCAGAGCAGAACCUCAGGUCCUGGGCUCCAUAGACGCCGUCUACACCGCUUCUGGGCACCGAAUCCGGGACGCGGAACCGCCGAAGAUCCACAGGGCGGCUGCCAGGGGCGACGCCGCGGAGGUGGAGCUGCCUGGCGUGCAGGAGCGGAGACCUGGAUGCCCGGGACAAGCCGCACAGAUCCUGGGAGUUCUGAUGAAUCUGCAGUCAGGUGUCCUUGAAAAAGUAUCAGAGCCUUUACCUGGACCUGCCAAUGGAAAAACAAAACAAAACAAAAAGACAAGUAUAGUCAAUGUAAAAGAAGGUAAGAAUACUAUUUUAUUUAAAAAGUCAUUUGAUAGAAUUUUUAAAAAAUUAGCACU
rnacentral:lncRNA from 1 species